GAUGAACGCUGGCGGCGUGCCUAAUACAUGCAAGUCGAGCGAACAGACGAGGAGCUUGCUCCUCUGACGUUAUCGGCGGACGGGUGAGUAACACGUGUAUAACCUACCUAUAAGACUGGGAUAACUUCGGGAAACCGUAGCUUAUACCGGAUAACAUGUUGCACUGCAUUGUUCAACAGUUAAAGACGGUCUUGCUGUCACUUAUAGACUACUCAGCCCCCAAUUAGCUAGUUGUUAAGGUAACGGCUUACCCAGGCAACGAUGCGUAGACGACCUGAGAGGGUGGUUGGCCACACGGUAAGAGAGAAUCGGUCGAGACACCGACGGGGGGAAGCAGCAGAGAAUCUUCCGCAAAGGGGGAAAGCCUAAUGUAGCAACGCGGCGUGAGUGAAGAAGGAGUUCGGAUGCGAGAGCUCUGUAAUUAGGAAAGUACUAAUGUGUAAGUACCUAUGCACGUAUUGACGGUACCGGAACAGAAAGCCCCGGCUAACUACGUG
rnacentral:rRNA from 1 species